ACUUUUUCCACACCAUAUUUGUUUUUGAUACGUGUUAAUUAAGUAAGGAUAAAAAUUUUCGACAAUGAUUCUUUAUGAGUUUAAAAAUACUGUAAAAAAUUGUGGAGCCGUCAGAUCCAUUAGAUUUUAAACAAACGGUUGAAAAUUUUUACCUUUUUGUUUUUUCAUUUUGUUGUCUUUCCCAAAUUAACCCUAUCCCUAACCCCUUCCCUCCUCCACCUGGAAAUUGCAAACAACACCCCACCUCCUCCGAGAGCACUCAACAAUGGAAACUAAAUUUCAACACUUAAAAACCAGCCAACAAACAACACAAAACACCACUCAACAACAUCACCACCACUACUUUCUUUUCCACAACCCUCCUCCAAACCUCAGCGCCACCGGAGCCACCAUCGACAAGGACCCCGAUGUCAGAGUCGCCACUCCUUCGCAUUGCCACUCCAGACCUCGAGACGUCUCCGGCACCGAUAGCCAACGACUGCGACACCACAACAACGUCAUUGAAGGAAACCACCGCAACGUACCGGGAACCCCACCACUAACCAACACCGCAAACCAUUGCAAGCCAUUAGCUGCAGUGACGACAACAACGACAACAAGUCUAGCUGUUUCUCAGACAACAACGACAACGUGUCUGCUUCUCAAUUUUUUGACAAUAUAAUAAUCCAUCCACUUCAAACACCCGCACUCUGCUUCUGCUUUUGCUUCGUUCCACCAUUUCCCAGCUUUUUUCAAGUUUCAAUUUCAAUUUCAAAACCCACUCAUUACGUGUGACUAGCGUCUAGGCCUAUGAGGUGAUGUCGCCGAGCUAUGUUGAUUCUGCACGCUAUAACAAAAAUCCCAACCAAAUAUCAUUUUUUGUGUUUCCAUUUCAACCUCGGUUGAUUUUUGCGUCUCCAUUCGAGUUGCAUGUUCAACAACCUAACCAUACUCCCGCAUUUUCAUUCUCCAUUGUACAAAGGGUUUGUACCUGUGUUGAUUCAAGAAGCUCACCUUACUUGGAACCUUCUGCACGUGUGAAAAAUCAACAAGUGACAACAAGGAUGUAUUGGAUGAAACGACUACAAUGAAUCUUUUAGAAAGAUAAUUCGACUGCUCUUGGAAGAUGACUCUUCAUCAAAGAAUAACAAUUUAGAGUACCAAUCAAUUAAUAAAGAGUUUCAUUCUUUCCUCAGUGACAACAAAGAUGUAUUGGAUGAAACAACUAUAAUGAAGCUUUUAGAGAGGUCCCCCCUCCUGUCAAAGGCACCUUUCCAAGCCAACGUGUGAAGUUCGGGAUCCCACUUAACUACGUCCACCCUAACGUGUCAUGGUUCCAGAU